rnacentral:rRNA from 1 species
GAUUAAGUUAUUAAGGGCGCACGGUGGAUGCCUUGGCACUAGAAGCCGAUGAAGGACGUUACUAACGACGAUAUGCUUUGGGGAGCUGUAAGUAAGCUUUGAUCCAGAGAUUUCCGAAUGGGGAAACCCAGCAUGAGUUAUGUCAUGUUAUCGAUAUGUGAAUACAUAGCAUAUCAGAAGGCACACCCGGAGAACUGAAACAUCUUAGUACCCGGAGGAAGAGAAAGAAAAUUCGAUUCCCUUAGUAGCGGCGAGCGAAAUGGGAAGAGCCCAAACCAACAAGCUUGCUUGUUGGGGUUGUAGGACACUCUAUACGGAGUUA